GUUUGAUCAUGGCUCAGGAUGAACGCUAGCGGGAGGCUUAACACAUGCAAGUCGCGGGGCAGCAUAAGGUAGCAAUACUUUGAUGGCGACCGGCGCACGGGUGAGUAACGCGUAUGCAACCUACCCAGUACAGGGGGAUAGCCCGGAGAAAUUCGGAUUAAUACCCCAUAAUGAUAUAGAGAGGCAUCUUUUUAUAUUUAAAGCUACGGCGGUACUGGAUGGGCAUGCGUAAGAUUAGCUAGUUGGUAGGGUAACGGCCUACCAAGGCUCCGAUCUUUAGGGGUCCUGAGAGGGUGAUCCCCCACACUGGUACUGAGACACGGACCAGACUCCUACGGGAGGCAGCAGUGAGGAAUAUUGGUCAAUGGGCGCAAGCCUGAACCAGCCAUCCCGCGUGAAGGAAGAAGGCGCUAUGCGUCGUAAACUUCUUUUCCGGAGAAAUAAAAUCUUGUACGUGUACAGGACUGAAGGUACUCUGGGAAUAAGCAUCGGCUAACUCCGUGCCAGCAGCCGCGGUAAUACGGAGGAUGCAAGCGUUAUCCGGAUUUAUUGGGUUUAAAGGGUGCGUAGGCGGAUUAAUAAGUCAGCGGUGAAAACCUUCAGCUUAACUGGAGACUUGCCAUUGAUACUGUUAGUCUUGAGUAUGGUUAAGGUAGGCGGAAUGUGUAAUGUAGCGGUGAAAUGCUUAGAUAUUACACAGAACACCAAUUGCGAAGGCAGCUUACUGAGCCAUAACUGACGCUGAUGCACGAAAGCGUGGGGAGCGAACAGGAUUAGAUACCCUGGUAGUCCACGCCGUAAACGAUGAUCACUCGCUGUUGGCGAUACACAGUCAGCGGCUAAGCAAAGGCAUUAAGUGAUCCACCUGGGGAGUACGGCC
rnacentral:rRNA from 1 species